AUAGUAGCUUUGCAACUACAUUGAGUAUCUUGUUUUACGUAUCACAGAGUAUCUUGUUUUAGACUCAGUCCUCAGAGUUUUUCAUUUAUUCUUAUUAUCGGGUUCAAGUCAAGUUGGAUGAAUCUUGUGGUCCAUUUGGUAGUCGGUAGUAAAUUGUGCUAUGGAGUACUUGUUUUGAACUUGUGUAAUUUUAGGGGAGUUCUCAUGUCAUUGUAAAUGCAUGUUAUGGUAUUUGUUGAAUAAUUAUGAAAUUUCUUCCUAAUACUUUAAAAUCUCUACACAAUUGUGCUUGCUUGAGCAUAUGAAAAAGUUCAAUAUAGAAUAUUCCAAAAUAAUUUGUCUUUUAAAUAGAACAUAAAAAAACUUACAAUCGUCCUAGAACAUUGUAAUGUUGUAAUGUUAUUUGAUAGUAUUCAACUAUAUUCUAUUCUAUGGUACGGGAUCCCCUAGCGGGUGCACCCGAAGGGUUCGAGUGAGAGCAUACUUGUCGAGACACGAAAUAUGGUGAACUAUGCCUGAGCGGAGCGAAGCAAGAGGAAACUCUGGUGGAGGUCUGAAGCGAUACUGAUGUGCAAAUCGUUCGUCUGACUUGGGUAUAGGGGCGAAAGACUAAUCGAACAGUCUAGUAGCUGGUUCCCUCCGAAGUCUCCCUCAGGAUAGUUGGAGCUCAUUAGCGAGUUCUAUCAGGUAAAGCCAAUGAUUAGAGGCCUCGGGGGAGCAACGCCCUCGACCUAUUCUCAAACUUUAAAUAGGUAGGAUGACGUAGCUGCUUUGUUGAGCCGUGCCAUGGAAUCGAGAGCUCUAAAUGGGCCAUUUUUGGUAAGCAGAACUGGCGAUGCGGGAUGAACUGGAAGCCGGGUUACGGUGCCCAACUAUGCGUUAACCUAGAUCCUACAAAGGGUGUUGGUCGAUUAAGACAGCAGGACGGUGGUCAUGGAAGUCGAAAUCUGCUAAGGUGUGUGUAACAACUCACCUGCCGAAUCAACUAGCCCCGAAAAUGGAUGGCGCUGGGGCACGUGACCAAUACCCGGCCGUCAGGGCAAGUGCUAGGCCCCGAUGAAUAGGAGGGCGCAACGGUCGCUACAAAACCUAUGGCGUGAGCCAGGGCGGAGCGGCCGAAGGUGCAGAUUUUGGUGGUAAUAGCAAAUAUUCAAAUGAGAACUUUGAAGGCCGAAGAGGGAAAAGGUUCCAUGUAAACGACACUUACAUAUGGGUUAUUCAAUCCUAAGAGAUGGGGGAAGCAUGUCUGAUAGCGCGUUUUGCGCAAGCUUCGAAAAGGAAUCAGGUUAAAAUUUCUGAAUCGGGACGUGGCAGUUGACGGUAACGUUGGGAAGUCCGAAGACGUCGGCGGGGGCCUCAAGAAGAGUUAUCUUUUAUGUUAACAGUCUGCGGCCAGUCGGAGGUAGGGUCCACCGGCUGGAAGAGCACAGCACGUUUUGUGGUGUCUGGUGCGCCCUCGGCGGCCCUUGAAAAUCCGAGACCGAAUGUCGACCAGGCCCGAUCGUUCUCAUAAUCGCAUCAACUCUCCUAGGUGAACAACCUUUGGUCGAUGGAAGAAUGUAGACAAGGGUAUUCGGCAAAAUGGAUCCGUAACUUCGGGAAAAGUAUUGGCUCUGAGGGCUGGGCACGAGGGUCCAAGUCCCGAAAUCGUCGGCUGUCGGUGGACUGCUCGAGCUGCUUCCGUGGUGCGUGUGGAUCGCCGCGUGCCGGCCGGGGGACGGACUGGGAACGAUCCCUUUGGGGGCCUUCCCCGGGCGUUGAGCAGUUAACUCAGAACUGGUACAGAUAAGGGGAAUCCGACUGUUUAAUUAGAACAAAGCAUUGCGAUGGUCCCUGCGGAUGUUAACGCAAUGUGGUUUCUGCCCAGUGCUCUUAAUGUCAAAGUGAAGAAAUUCAACCAAGCGCGGGUAAACAACAGGAGUAACUAUGACUAUCUUAAAGUAGCCAAAUGACUUGUCAUCUAAUUAGUGACGCAUGAAUGGAUUAACGAGAUUCCCACUGUCCCUGCCUACUAUCCGGCGAAACCACAACCAAGGGAACGAGCUUGGCAGAAUCAGCGGGGAAAGAAAACUUUGCUGAGCUUGACUCUAGUCCGACUUUGUGAAAUGACUUGAGAGGUGUAGGAUAAGUGGGAGGUUCGGCGCAAGUGAAAUACCACUACUUUUAACGUUAUUUUACUUACUCUGUGAGUCGGAAGCUGGGCAAUGCCCCUCCUUUUAUACCUAAGGUCCACUUUGCGGGCCGAUCCGAGCGGAGGACAUUGGUAGGUAGGGAGUUUGGCUGGGGCGGCACAUCUGUUAAAAGAUAACUCAGGUGUCCUAAAAUGAGCUCAACGAGAACAUAAAUCUCGUGUGGAACAGAAGGGUAAAAGCUCGUUUGAUUCUGAUUUUCAGUACGAAUACAAACCGUGAAAGCGUGGCCUAACAAUCCUUAAUUUAGUCCUUUAGAAUUUAAAGCUAGAGGUGUCAGAAAAGUUACCACAUCGAUAACUAGCUUGUGGCAGCCAAGCGUUCAUAACAACGUUGCUUUUUUAUCCUUCAAUGUCGACUCUUCCUAUCAUUGUGAAUCAGAAUUCACCAAGUGUUGGAUUGUUCACCCACCAAUAGAGAACGUGAGUUGGGUUUAGACCGUCACGAGACAUGUUAGUUUUACCCUAUUGAUGACAGUGUCUCAAUGGUAAUUCAGUCUAGAACGAGAGGAACCGUUGAUUCACACAAUUGGUCAUCGCGCCUGGUUGAAAAGCUUGUGGCGUGAAGCUACCGCGUGCUGGAUUAUGACUAAACGCCUCUAAGUCAGAAUCCGGGCCAAAAGCGACGCAUGCGCCCUCCGCUCGAUUGU
rnacentral:rRNA from 1 species